UAGGGUGAUCAACUUGUUCUGGUUUGCCUGGGACAUGCCUGGUUUCAGCACCAAAAGUCCUGCGUCCCAAAAAAGCCCUCAGUCUCAGGCAAACCAGGACAGCUGGUCACCCUAACACAAU
rnacentral:pre_miRNA from 1 species